CAGGAUUAUAUGCAUUUAGAAACUGAUUUAGCUGAUGGAUGCUGGAGUGUAUCAGGACCCCCAGCCACCCAGAGAACAGAGCCCUGAUUAGACCCACCAUGGCCCAUGGAACACAGGGCGUGCAGGACAAUUCUGUUUCCAAUGUCCCACUCUCUAUGAACAUUCUGAGAUGAAGAUGUGAGGUCCGGGGAUUGGUAAAGAUCCAGUCAACUGUGGGCCAAAUCCAUCUCCUGGCUGGCGGAGACCGUAGAGAAAACGAUCACUGGUCACAAAGCCGGGAUCCCAAGACAUACAACAAGACAAAAGGAAAAUUUCAUCGGGCUUCUUGUAUAUGCACAUUAACAGCGCAUUAGCCAAGCGUUGGGUCUCUCUCCUCAGAAGAUUGUGCCUCCAAAAUUAGCAAGACAGGAAACAACAUUUGUUGGAGAAGAUAUAGAGAAAGGGGAACCCUC